rnacentral:misc_RNA from 1 species
CUGAGUGUUUUAAAAUUUUUUUGAAAAGAUUUUAACUCUCCCACCCUUUGUUUAAAGACCUGUUGCUUCGGUGAAUCGUUCUUUUUUACUCAAAAAAGACCAUUGAUAUAAGAUUCAUUUCUUUAUGAAUGUGUUUAUUCACCGAAGACUUUAUCAACUCUAAUUAUCAAGAUUUUGUCUGAGAUUUUUAUUAUAAAAAGAAAAA